GUCUCCUUCGGGAGGCGAGUAAAGCGGCGAACGGGUGAGUAACACGUGGAUGAUCUGUCCUCGAGUGGGGAAUAACCUGGGGAAACUCGGGCUAAUACCGCAUACGAUCGCAUGGUUGCGGCCAUGCGAGGAAAGUUGGCCUCUACAUGUAAGCUGACGCUCUUGGAGGAGUCCGCGCCUGAUUAGCUAGUUGGUGGGGUAAUGGUCUACCAAGGCGACGAUCAGUAGCCGGCCUGAGAGGGUGAUCGGCCACACUGGGACUGAGACACGGCCCAGACUCCUACGGGAGGCAGCAGUGGGGAAUAUUGGACAAUGGGGGCAACCCUGAUCCAGCAACGCCGCGUGGAGGAUGAAGGCCUUCGGGUCGUAAACUUCUGUCAGUAGGGACGAAAGGCCCCUGGUCAAUAGCCUUGGGUCAUGACGGUACCUGCAGAGGAAGCCCCGGCUAACUCCGUGCCAGCAGCCGCGGUAAUACGGGGGGGGCAAGCGUUAUUCGGAAUUACUGGGCGUAAAGAGCGCGUAGGCGGCUUGGUAUGUCAAAGGUGAAAUCCCUCGGCUCAACCGAGGAACUGCCUUUGAAACUGCCUGGCUUGAGGCU
rnacentral:rRNA from 1 species